rnacentral:rRNA from 2 species
AGAGUUUGAUCAUGGCUCAGAUUGAACGCUGGCGGCAGGCCUAACACAUGCAAGUCGAGCGGUAGCACAGAGAGCUUGCUCUCGGGUGACGAGCGGCGGACGGGUGAGUAAUGUCUGGGAAACUGCCUGAUGGAGGGGGAUAACUACUGGAAACGGUAGCUAAUACCGCAUAACGUCGCAAGACCAAAGUGGGGGACCUUCGGGCCUCAUGCCAUCAGAUGUGCCCAGAUGGGAUUAGCUAGUAGGUGGGGUAACGGCUCACCUAGGCGACGAUCCCUAGCUGGUCUGAGAGGAUGACCAGCCACACUGGAACUGAGACACGGUCCAGACUCCUACGGGAGGCAGCAGUGGGGAAUAUUGCACAAUGGGCGCAAGCCUGAUGCAGCCAUGCCGCGUGUGUGAAGAAGGCCUUCGGGUUGUAAAGCACUUUCAGCGGGGAGGAAGGCGAUAAGGUUAAUAACCUCAUCGAUUGACGUUACCCGCAGAAGAAGCACCGGCUAACUCCGUGCCAGCAGCCGCGGUAAUACGGAGGGUGCAAGCGUUAAUCGGAAUUACUGGGCGUAAAGCGCACGCAGGCGGUCUGUCAAGUCGGAUGUGAAAUCCCCGGGCUCAACCUGGGAACUGCAUUCGAAACUGGCAGGCUAGAGUCUUGUAGAGGGGGGUAGAAUUCCAGGUGUAGCGGUGAAAUGCGUAGAGAUCUGGAGGAAUACCGGUGGCGAAGGCGGCCCCCUGGACAAAGACUGACGCUCAGGUGCGAAAGCGUGGGGAGCAAACAGGAUUAGAUACCCUGGUAGUCCACGCCGUAAACGAUGUCGAUUUGGAGGUUGUGCCCUUGAGGCGUGGCUUCCGGAGCUAACGCGUUAAAUCGACCGCCUGGGGAGUACGGCCGCAAGGUUAAAACUCAAAUGAAUUGACGGGGGCCCGCACAAGCGGUGGAGCAUGUGGUUUAAUUCGAUGCAACGCGAAGAACCUUACCUGGUCUUGACAUCCACAGAACUUUCCAGAGAUGGAUUGGUGCCUUCGGGAACUGUGAGACAGGUGCUGCAUGGCUGUCGUCAGCUCGUGUUGUGAAAUGUUGGGUUAAGUCCCGCAACGAGCGCAACCCUUAUCCUUUGUUGCCAGCGGUCCGGCCGGGAACUCAAAGGAGACUGCCAGUGAUAAACUGGAGGAAGGUGGGGAUGACGUCAAGUCAUCAUGGCCCUUACGACCAGGGCUACACACGUGCUACAAUGGCAUAUACAAAGAGAAGCGACCUCGCGAGAGCAAGCGGACCUCAUAAAGUAUGUCGUAGUCCGGAUUGGAGUCUGCAACUCGACUCCAUGAAGUCGGAAUCGCUAGUAAUCGUAGAUCAGAAUGCUACGGUGAAUACGUUCCCGGGCCUUGUACACACCGCCCGUCACACCAUGGGAGUGGGUUGCAAAAGAAGUAGGUAGCUUAACCUUCGGGAGGGCGCUUACCACUUUGUGAUUCAUGACUGGGGUGAAGUCGUAACAAGGUAACCGUAGGGGAACCUGCGGUUGGAUCACCU